CUGGCUGGCGGGCUGGCUGGCUGGCUGGCUGGCGGGCUGGCGGGCUGGCGGAAUAAGCUUGUCCGGGCCAUAACUAUGUCGUUCAUUGUCAGAUUUUAAAAUCAUUUGGCACAUUUGUUCACCAUCAUUGGACGGUGUGUCGCGCGAAAUAAUUACGUCGAUAUCUCCAAGGUCAAGGUCACACUUUGAGUUCAAAGGUCAAAAAUGGCCAUAAAUGAGCUUGUCCGAGCCAUAACUAUGUCGUUCAUCGUCAGAUUUUAAAAUCAUUUGGCACAUUUGUUCACCAUCAUUGGACGGUGUGUCGCGCGAAAUAAUUACGUCGAUAUCUCCAAGGUCAAGGUCACACUUUGAGUUCAAAGGUCAAAAAUGGCCAUAAAUGAGCUUGUCCUGGCCAUAACUAUGUCAUUCAUUGUGAGAUUUUAAAAUCAUUUGGCACAUUUGUUCACCAUCAUGGGACGGUGUGUCCCACGAAAGAAUCACGUCAAUAUCUCCAAUGUCAAGGUCGCCACGACUAAAAAUAGAUUUAAAAAAAAAAAAAACUUACAAAGGGGGUUAAUUUUUUUUGGUCAUUUCAAAAGUUCAGUUUGAGUUUUCUCCCUUUAUCAGUUUUUUUUU